CUCGGUGGAGUCGUCCUUGAAAUACCACCCUGAUUUGUUUGAGGUUCUAACCUAGGCCAGUGAAUCCUGGCCGGGGACCGUGCAUGGUAGGCAGUUUGACUGGGGCGGUCUCCUCCCAAAAGGUAACGGAGGAGUACGAAGGUACGCUUAGGGCGGUCGGACAUCGCCCAUAAAAGUGCAAUGGCAAAAGCGUGCUUGACUGCGAGACCCACAAGUCGAGCAGGUGCGAAAGCAGGUCAUAGUGAUCCGGUGGUUCUGUAUGGAAGGGCCAUCGCUCAACGGAUAAAAGGUACUCUGGGGAUAACAGGCUGAUACCGCCCAAGAGUUCAUAUCGACGGCGGUGUUUGGCACCUCGAUGUCGGCUCAUCUCAUCCUGGGGCUGUAGCCGGUCCCAAGGGUAUGGCUGUUCGCCAUUUAAAGAGGUACGUGAGCUGGGUUUAAAACGUCGUGAGACAGUUUGGUCCCUAUCUGCCGUGGGCGCUGGAAAUUUGAAGGGGGCUGCUCCUAGUACGAGAGGA
rnacentral:rRNA from 1 species